rnacentral:rRNA from 1 species
UACGUAGGGUCCGAGCGUUGUCCGGAUUUAUUGGGCGUAAAGAGCUCGUAAGCGGUUCGUCGCGUCGGCUGUGAAAUCCCGAGGCUCAACCUCGGGUCUGCAGUCGAUACGGGCGGACUGGAGUUCGGCAGGGGAGACUGGAAUUCCUGGUGUAGCGGUGAAAUGCGCAGAUAUCAGGAGGAACACCGGUGGCGAAGGCGGGUCUCUGGGCCGAUACUGACGCUGAGGAGCGAAAGCGUGGGGAGCGAACAGG